CCUGGUGGCUUAGACGGUAAAGCAUCUGCCUACAAUGCAGGAGACCCGGGUUUGAUUGCUGGGUCAGGA
rnacentral:tRNA from 1 species